UGCAGGGGUCCUCGGGCCAGCUUUUGGUUAGUUAGUUGUCUGCGCUGUUAAAGAUUUGCCUACUGUUACAUGUUUGACUCUCGUCUUUGGUGAUGGUACCUAUUUCACAGGAAAUAGGAGCUGGAAUCCAGGAAACAGGCUGGAAGAUGAAAUUAAAAAGUGGAUACAAAGCUUCUAAUCAGAGCCAGACAUAAUCGGCGAUCAACUAUAUCCCGUCUCUCCCCUUUUCUCUGAUCUGUACUUUCCUUAAUGAGGAAUGAGACUUUAAGUUGACUUUUUUUUUAUCUUCAAGUCUCUCUCUCUCUAUUCCCUAACUUGCCUCUCUUGCCUUCAUUUCAUCCUAGAGCUUGUGCCCACGACUUCUUUUCUAAGUAAAUAUUAACCCCCUUUGACUCUGAAUCUCUGGAAAAUUCUCAGUUCCCUAUUUUCGCUGGCACUGUGACAGGUCCUCAUUUCUCCUUCCCACUCUUCUCUAUUUAUAGUUUUCACAUUUUUUUGGCAGGUUGGCUACAGAACACUCAAAAAUUGCAAAGAGAAAUAUUGUGUUCUGGAAAUUCGUAUGAGCAUUUUUUCCAAUAUCGUCCUUAUGCUCUUCUGAUCCUCUCCUGAACUGUUGGACUAAAGCAGCUGACGCUUCCACCAGCAACCAGAAUCAUCCUGUCCACUACUGUGGGAACAGAGGGUUUCCAUUUGGAACUGCAGACUGAGCCUAAAGUCUGGUGGCCCUUUGGUGCCAGGAUAGCAGAAAUGAUUCCACCAAUGCCAGCGGCAUGCACCAGAAACCAGGAACCAAUCAUUCAGCUGAGCCAACCUGCUGUACUUUAAAACAAUUGACUACAAUCCUCCAGUGGAUACUCAACCCUGGCUUCAAACUCCCUUGUCUCUCCACUCCUGUCCUAGGGAUGAGGGAGCAGAAGGCAAGCU